rnacentral:rRNA from 1 species
GUCUACGGCCAUACCACCCUGAACGCACCCGAUCUCGUCUGAUCGCGGAAGCUAAGCAGGGUCGGGCCUGGUUAGUACUUAGAUGGGAGACAGCGGGCCUCUGUGAGAGCUGACGUGUAAUUG